rnacentral:rRNA from 1 species
AUUGUACGCUGGCGGCAUGCUUUACACAUGCAAGUCGAACGGCAGCACAGAGAAGCUUGCUUCUUGGGUGGCGAGUGGCGAACGGGUGAGUAAUAUAUCGGAACGUACCGAGUAAUGGGGGAUAACUAAUCGAAAGAUUAGCUAAUACCGCAUAUUCUCUGAGGAGGAAAGCAGGGGACCUUCGGGCCUUGCGUUAUUCGAGCGGCCGAUAUCUGAUUAGCUAGUUGGUGGGGUAAAGGCCUACCAAGGCGACGAUCAGUAGCGGGUCUGAGAGGAUGAUCCGCCACACUGGGACUGAGACACGGCCCAGACUCCUACGGGAGGCAGCAGUGGGGAAUUUUGGACAAUGGGCGCAAGCAUGAUCCAGCCAUGCCGCGUGUCUGAAGAAGGCCUUCGGGUUGUAAAGGACUUUUGUCAGGGAAGAAAAGGCUGUUGCUAAUAUCGACAGCUGAUGAACGGUACCUGAAGAAUAAGC